rnacentral:rRNA from 1 species
AAAAGUAAAAGAAGGGCAGACGGUGGAUGCCUUGGCUCUCGGAGGCGACGAAGGACGUGAUAAGCUGCGAAAAGCCCGGUUGAGGUGCAAAUAACCCUUGACGCCGGGAUAUCCGAAUGGGGAAACCCGAUUGGUAGAAAACCAAUCACAUCGAAAGAUGGGCGAACGUGGGGAACUGAAACAUCUAAGUACCCAUAGGAAGAGAAAAUAACAAUGAUUGCGUAAGUAGUGGCGAGCGAACGCGCAAGAGCCCAAACCAUAGAUGUUUUGGCAUCAUAUGGGGUUGUAGGAUCGCAAUGUGGCAAGAAGCAAAGGAAGUGGAACCCGCUGGAAAGAGGGCCAUAGAGGGUGAAAGUCCCGUACACGAAUCUUUUGUGAAGCCUAGCGAUAUCCUGAGUAAGUCGGGACACGUGAAAUCCUGACCGAAUCUGCGGGGACCAUCCCGUAAGGCUAAAUACUCCCGAGAGACCGAUAGCGAACCAGUACCGUGAGGGAAAGGUGAAAAGAACCUCGAAUAGAGGAGUGAAAUAGACCCUGAACCCGUCUGCCUACAAGCGGUCGGAGCACCUUUAAGGUGUGACGGCGUGCCUUUUGCAUAAUGAACCUGCGAGUUGUUUUUUUUGGCAAGGUUAAGCAUCAGUAGGUGCGCAGCCGAAGCGAAAGCGAGUCUGAAUAGGGCGACUAAGUCAAAAGGAGCAGACGCGAAACCAAGUGAUCUACCGAUGGCCAGGCUGAAGGUUGGGUAACACCAACUGGAGGGCCGAAUGGAUAUACGUUGAAAAGUGUUCCAAUGAGCUGUGGGUAGGGGUGAAAGGCUAAUCAAACUUGGAGAUAGCUCGUACUCCCCGAAAUGCAUUUAGGUGCAGCCUCGGGUAAGGUACUGAUGAGAGGUAGAGCGACUGAUUGGAUGCGAGGGCUUCACCGCCUAUCAAGUCCGGCCAAACUCCGAAUGCUCAUCAGCAACAUCCCGGGAGUGAGGGCAUGGGUGCUAAGGUCCAUGUCCGAAAGGAGAAGAAUCCAGAUCACCGGCUAAGGUCCCCAAAUAGCAGCUAAGUUGCAUUAACGAAGUCCGACCGCAGCGACAGCCAGGAUGUUGGCUUGGAAGCAGCCAUUCAUUUAAAGAGUGCGUAACAGCUCACUGGUCGAGGGUCCGGGCGUGGAUAAUAAUCGGGUAUAAGGCAGACACCGAAGACGCGGGAUAGCAUUAAAAAAAGUAUCGGUAGGGGAGCAUUCCAUCGGCGUCGAAUGCGGUGAGGCGAUCACCGCUGGAGCCCAUGGAAAAGCAAAUGUAGGUAUAAGUAACGAUAAGGAGGGUAAGAUUCCCUCCCGCCGUAAGACUAAGGUUUCCCGGGCAAUGCCAAUCAUCCCGGGGUCAGUCGGGUCCUAAGGCUCAGCCGAACGGCGAGGCCGAUGGCAGAAAGGGUCAACAUUCCCUUACUGCCGCACGGAGCGACGCGGAGACGGAGGCGUGACACCACCGCGGAGAUACGGAAUUCUCCGUUGAAGAGCGUAGACGUUGAGGGCGGCAGGCAAAUCCACCGCCCGAGUCGAACCUCGAAAGUAUGCCUUUCCCUUCGGGGCGAGGCAAUAGCGUGGGUAACCAUACUCCCGAGAAAAUCCGCUAAGCUCAAUCCGUGCGGCACCCGUACCGCAAACGGACACACGUAGUCGGGUAGAACAUACUGAGGCGUUGAGAGAUUCAUGGUUAAGGAACUAGGCAAACUGACCCCGUAACUUCGGGAUAAGGGGUCCUCGUCGCAAGGCGAGGCGCAGAGAAUAGGUCCAGGCAACUGUUUAACAAAAACACAGGGCUGUGCCAACUCGAAAGAUGACGUAUACAGCCUGACACCUGCCCGGUGCCGGAAGGUUAAGAGGAGAGCUCAGAGGCAACUCGAAGGUUUGAAUUGAAGCCCCGGUAAACGGCGGCCGUAACUAUAACGGUCCUAAGGUAGCGAAAUUCCUUGUCGGGUAAGUUCCGACCUGCACGAAUGGUGUAAUGAUCCGGACGCUGUCUCAACCAUGAUCUCAGUGAAAUUGUAGUAUCGGUGAAGAUGCCGAUUACCCGCGAUGGGACGAAAAGACCCCGUGAACCUUUACUGCAGCUUAGCAUUGACCUUGGUCAUCCGAUGUGUAGGAUAGGCCGGAGGCUUCGAAGCGGGGGCGCCAGCCCUUGUGGAGCCACCCUUGAAAUACGGCCCUUUGGCUGUCCGAGGUCUAACCCGCUUGUUGCGGGGACACUGCUUGGUGGGCAGUUUGACUGGGGUGGUCGCCUCCAAAAGCGUAACGGAGGCUUCCAAAGGUACCCUCAGGCCGAUUGGUAACCGGCCCAUUAGAGUGCAAUGGCAUAAGGGUGCUUGACUGGGAGGCAGACAUGCCGAGCAGGCAGGAAACUGGGGCAUAGUGAUCCGGUGCAAGUGUAUGGAAACUGCAUCGCUCAAAGGAUAAAAGGUACUCCGGGGAUAACAGGCUGAUCCCCCCCAAGAGCUCAUAUCGACGGGGUGGUUUGGCACCUCGAUGUCGGCUCGUCACAUCCUGGGGCUGGAGAAGGUCCCAAGGGUUGGGCUGUUCGCCCAUUAAAGUGGCACGCGAGCUGGGUUCAGAACGUCGUGAGACAGUUCGGUCUCUAUCUAUCGUGGGCGUUGGAGUUUUGCGUGGCCCUGUCACUAGUACGAGAGGACCGUGAUGGACAGACCUCCGGUUUACCGGUUGUGCCGCCAGGUGCACCGCCGGGUAUCUGAGUCUGGAUCGGAUAAGCGCUGAAAGCAUCUAAGUGCGAAGCCGGCCGCAAGAUUAGAACUCCUCAUGAGGGUCGUCCCAGACGAGGACGUCGAUAGGGCGCAGGUGUAAAGGCGGCGACGCCAAAGCCGAGCGCUACUAAUUGCCCGAAACUUUCUUACC